rnacentral:lncRNA from 1 species
AUGGCAGCAAGGGCAAAAUUGAAAAUGGCUUCCCCAGAACCUAAGAGCCUGGUCCCUUUCACCAGAGAGUCUCUUGAAGUUAUGGAACAGCAUAGUGCUAAAAAGCCCAGUGAGGAAGACAAAGAAGAUUUAAAGCCAAACUGUGACUUGGAAGUUGGAAAAGAGCUUCCAUUUGUUUAUGGAAAUCUUCCUCAAGCAAUGGUGUCAGAGCCAUUGGAAGAUGUGGACCCAUACUACACUAAUAAAAGGACUUUCAUAGUAUUAAAUAAAAAGAGAACAAUAUUCAGAUUCAGUGCUACCUGGUGUACAUUGUCUCCUUUCAAUUCAAUUAGAAGAGCAACCAUUAAGAUUUUGGUACAUCCAUUUUUCCGACUAUUCAUUUUGGUUAGCGUCCUGACUGACUGCAUAUUUAUGUCUAUGACUGAUUGUCCAAAAUGGGGGCCAGCAUUUCAGAAUACUUUGCUUGGAAUUUAUACAUUUGAAAUACUUGUAAAACUCAUUGCAAGAGGCAUCUGGGCAGGACCUUUUUAUUUCUUUGGUGAUUCAUGGAACUGGCUUGAUUUCAGUGUAACUUUAUUUGAGCAUAUUUCAAGAUAUUCACCUCUAAAUUUCAUUUCCGUAUUUAGAAUUGUGAGAAAUUUGAGAAUUUUGAAAAUUAUUCCUUUAAACCAAGGAAUGAAGUCUUUUGUAGCGAUACUCAUCCAUUGUUUGAAGAAACUCACUGUGGUCACUAUCCUAACUGUCUUUUUUCUGAGUGUAUUUUCUCUAAUUGGGAUGGGGCUCUUCAUGGGCAAUCUGAAGCAUAAAUGUUUGCGAUGGCCCCAAGAAAAUGAAACUGACAUGCUGAAUAAUAGAACUGGAAACCCAUAUUAUAUUCGAGAAACAGAAAACUUUUAUUAUUUGGAAGGAGAAAGAUAUGCUCUUCUUUGUGGCAACAGAUCAGAUGCUAGUCAGUGUCCUGAAGGAUAUGUGUGUGUAAAAGCUGGUGUAAAUCCUGAUGAUGGCUACACAAAUUUUGACAGCUUUGGCUGGGCCUUAUUAGCUCUAUUUCGGUUAAUGACUCAGGAUUACCCUGAAGCACUUUAUCAUCAGAUCCUUUAUGCUUCUGGGAAGGUCUACAUGAUAUUUUUUGUGGUGAUAAGUUUUUGGUUUGCCUUUUAUAUGGCAAGUUUGUUCUUAGGCUUACUUGCUAUAUCCUAUGAAGAAGAAAAGCAGACAGCUGCUGAAAAAGCUACGGUUGAUCAGGAAUUUCAGAAGUCUUUACCAGAACUUCAAGAAGAAAAAAUAACAGCAGAGACCAAGACCAUACAAUUAGAAAUGAAGAAAAGAUCAUCACCUUCUAUGAUUACUUCUUUGGAUGCGCUGGAUGAUGCUACUGUCAGCCAUAAAGAAGUUUCAGAGCUUAAAAAAUCCAGGCAGAGAUGCCCAUUUUGUUGGUAUAGAUUUGCUAAAACUUUCUUGAUCUGGGAUUGUUCUCCCUGUUGGUUAAAAUUGAAAGAGUUUGUUUACAGGAUUAUAACGGACCCAUUUACCGAUCUUUUCCUUACCAUAUGCAUAAUCCUAAACAUAAAUUUUUUGGCCUUGGAACACUAUCCAAUGAGUCUGGAAACCAGCAAUAUUCUCAGCAUUGGAAACAUGGUGUUUAUAGGAAUUUUCACAACAGAAAUGAUUUUUAAAAUAAUUGCCAUGCAUCCAUAUGGAUAUUUCCAAGUAGGCUGGAACAUUUAUGAUAGCCUAAUUGUGUUCCAUGGUUUAGCAGAACUUUAUCUAACAAAUUUUCAUGGACUGGCUAUUUUACGAUCAUUCAGGGUGUUACGAAUUUUUAGAUUGGGAAGAUACUGGCCAACAUUUAAGAUUCUGAUGCUGACUCUGUGUAACUCAGUUGUGGCCCUGAAAGACUUGGUCCUGCUGUUGUUCACGUUUAUGUUCUUUUCUGCUGUGGUUGGCCUCAACCUGUAUGGUUCAAAUUACAAACAGUAUGUCUGCAACAUAAAUGAAGACUGUCAGCUUCCUCACUGGCACAUGUGUGAUUUCUUCCAUUCCUUCCUGAAUGUCUUCCGGAUUCUCUGUGGAGAGUGGAUAGAGACUUUAUGGGAUUGCUUUAAGGUAGCAGGCCAAUUCAGUUGUAUUCCUUUUUACAUGAUGGUGAUUUUAAUUGGAAAAUUAUUGAUACUUUACCUGUUUCUGGCGUUGAUCAUCUCAUUUAGUUCAUACAAGCCUGCAACAACUGAUGAAGAAAAUGAUGAAGCAAAAAAUCUCCAGCGUGCAAUGGCAAGAAUUAAAAAAGGAAUAAAUUAUGUGCUUUCUAAAAUAUUAUGCAAAAAACAAAAUGUUCUAAAGGAAACAAUGGACAAUAUAAGUGAUGUCUAUGUUAAAGAGAAUAUUUCUGGCCAUACUCUUUCUGAAUUGAGCAACACCCAAGAUUUCCUCAAGGAUAAGGAAAAAAGCAGCGGCACAGAGAAAAACACAAUGACGGAAAAUGAGAGUCGGUCACUAAUCCCCAGUCCCAGUGUCUCAGAAACUGUACCGAUUGCUUCAGAAGAAUCUGAUAUAGAAAAUCCGGACAAUAAGGAGAUUCAGAGCAAGUCAGGUGAUGGAAGCAGCAAAGAGAAAGUAAAGCAGUCGAGCUCAUCUGAAUGUAGUACAGUUGAUAUUGUUCUUUCUGAAGAAGAAAUGGUCUAUGAACGUGAAAAGCCAAAGCAUCUUAGAAAUGUUUAUGAACGAAGAUCUUCAUCUGCUCAAAUCGGUAGAGGCCCCAAGAAAGGAAAAAUCUGGCAGAACAUACGGAAAACUUGCUGCAAAAUAGUAGAAAACAGUUGCUUUAAGUGUUUUAUUGGCCUUGUCACUCUGCUUAGCACAGGUGCUCUGGCUUUUGAAGAUAUAUACAUUGAAAAGAAAAAGACCAUUAAGAUUAUCCUGGAGUAUGCUGACAAGAUAUUCACUUAUAUCUUCAUUCUGGAAAUGCUUCUAAAAUGGGUAGCAUAUGGUUACAAAACCUAUUUCACCAAUGCCUGGUGUUGGCUGGAUUUCUUAAUUGUCGAUGUUUCUUUGGUUACAUUAGUUGCAAACACUCUUGGCUACUCAGAUCUUGGUCCCAUUAAAUCCCUCCGGACACUUAGAGCUUUAAGACCUCUGCGAGCUUUAUCUAGAUUUGAAGGAAUGAGGGUGGUUGUGAAUGCACUCAUCGGCGCAAUUCCUUCUAUCAUGAAUGUGCUGCUAGUGUGCCUCAUAUUCUGGCUGAUAUUCAGCAUCAUGGGAGUAAAUUUGUUUGCUGGGAAGUUUUAUGAGUGUAUUAACACCACAAAUGGACUACGGUUUCCUACGAAUGAAGUUGAAAACCGUUCUGCCUGUCUUGCGCUUAUGAAUGUUAGUCAAAAUGUGCGAUGGAAAAACCUAAAAGUGAACUUUGAUAAUGUUGGACUUGGUUACCUGUCUCUACUUCAAGUGGCAACGUUUAAGGGAUGGAUGGAUAUUAUGUAUGCAGCAGUUGAUUCUGUUAACGUAGACAAGCAGCCCAUUUAUGAAUACAGCCUCUACAUGUAUAUUUAUUUUGUCAUCUUCAUCAUCUUUGGGUCAUUCUUCACUUUGAACUUGUUCAUUGGUGUCAUCAUAGAUAAUUUCAACCAACAGAAAAAGAAGCUUGGAGGUCAAGAUAUCUUUAUGACAGAAGAACAGAAGAAAUAUUACAAUGCGAUGAAAAAGCUGGGAUCCAAGAAACCACAAAAGCCAAUACCUCGGCCAGGGAACAAAUUCCAAGGAUGUAUCUUUGACCUAGUAACAAACCAAGCUUUUGAUAUAGCCAUCAUGGUUCUGAUCUGCCUCAACAUGGUAACCAUGAUGGUAGAAAAAGAGGGACAAAGUGAAUACAUGACUGAAGUUUUAUAUUGGAUCAAUGUGGUUUUUAUUAUCCUGUUCUCUGGAGAAUGUGUGCUGAAACUGAUCUCUCUCAGAUGCUACUACUUCACUGUAGGCUGGAACAUCUUCGAUUUUGUGGUUGUAAUUCUCUCCAUUGUAGGUAUGUUUCUGGCAGAUUUGAUAGAAAGGUAUUUUGUGUCCCCUACCCUAUUCCGAGUGAUCCGUCUUGCCAGGAUUGGCCGAAUCCUGCGUCUGAUCAAAGGGGCCAAGGGGAUCCGCACACUGCUCUUUGCUUUGAUGAUGUCCCUUCCUGCGCUGUUUAACAUCGGCCUCCUGCUCUUCCUGGUCAUGUUCAUCUAUGCCAUCUUUGGAAUGUCCAACUUCGCCUAUGUUAAAAAGGAAGCUGGAAUUAAUGACAUGUUCAACUUUGAGACCUUUGGCAACAGCAUGAUCUGCCUGUUCCAGAUUACCACCUCUGCUGGCUGGGAUGGAUUGCUAGCGCCUAUCCUCAACAGUGCACCACCGGACUGUGACCCCAAAAAAGUUCACCCUGGAAGCUCAGUUGAAGGAGACUGUGGGAACCCAUCUGUCGGGAUAUUCUAUUUCGUCAGUUACAUCAUCAUAUCAUUUCUGGUCGUAGUGAACAUGUACAUCGCUGUCAUCCUGGAGAACUUCAGUGUUGCUACUGAGGAAAGUACUGAGCCCCUGAGUGAGGACGAUUUUGAGAUGUUCUAUGAGGUUUGGGAGAAGUUUGAUCCAGAUGCGACUCAAUUUAUAGAAUAUAGCAAACUCUCUGACUUUGCAGCUGCACUGGAUCCUCCUCUUCUCAUAGCAAAACCAAACAAAGUCCAGCUCAUUGCCAUGGACCUGCCCAUGGUCAGUGGGGACAGGAUCCACUGCCUUGACAUCUUAUUUGCUUUUACAAAGCGUGUUUUGGGGGAAGGUGGAGAGAUGGACUCUCUUCGUUCACAGAUGGAAGAAAGGUUCAUGUCUGCAAAUCCUUCUAAAGUGUCUUAUGAGCCCAUCACAACUACACUAAAAAGAAAGCAAGAGGAUGUGUCUGCUACAGUUAUUCAGCGUGCUUACAGACGUUACCGCUUACGGCAACAUGUCAAAAAUAUAUCAAGUAUAUACAUCAAAGAUGGUGACAGAGAUGAUGAUUUGCCCAAUAAAGAACAUAUGGUUUUUGAUAAUGUUAAUGAGAACUCAAGUCCAGAAAAAACAGAUGCAACUCCAUCCACUGUCUCUCCACCUUCAUAUGAUAGUGUAACAAAACCAGACAGAGAGAAAUAUGAAAAAGACAAAACAGAAAAGGAAGACAAAGGGAAAGAUGGCAAGGAAGGCAAAAAAUAG